rnacentral:rRNA from 1 species
CCAGACUCCUACGGGAGGCAGCAGUGAGGAAUAUUGGUCAAUGGGCGGGAGCCUGAACCAGCCAAGCCGCGUGAAGGAAGAAGGCGCCAGGCGUCGUAAACUUCUUUUGUCGGGGAACAAAGGGCGCCACGCGUGGCGUUGUGAGUGUACCCGAAGAAAAAGCAUCGGCUAACUCCGUGCCAGCAGCCGCGGUAAUACGGAGGAUGCGAGCGUUAUCCGGAUUUAUUGGGUUUAAAGGGUGCGUAGGCGGUCCGGAAAGUCAGCGGUAAAAGCCCGGGACCCACCCCCGGCGAGCCGUUGAAACUGGCAGUCUCGAGUUGGAGAGAAGUAUGCGGAAUGCGCGGUGUAGCGGUGAAAUGCAUAGAUAUCGCGCAGAACUCCGAUUGCGAAGGCAGCAUACCGGCGCCCGACUGACGCUGAGGCACGAAAGCGUGGGUAUCGAACAGGAUUAGAUACCCCCGUA